CUUCCAGGCCUAUGGCCCGACUGGGAAGGAACAGUAAGGAAACUCAGGCCGCCUGAGUUGAGGCCCUAGGGAGCAAGGAGCCCAGGGGGUAGGAGAGGGAACAGUACAGAAACGUGGGUGAGACGUGAUAUCUAGAUAAGAAGCCGCAGAUAAAGUGCUAUUGAGGGUGCACCUGGAAAGACGGGUGUUGGAGCCGCUCAAGACAUGCCAAGGUCAGCCGGUUGAGGACUCAGGUGGAAAAGGCGAAGAUAAUAAGCUGGCUUCAAGCCCACCCAGCAGCCAAGGAUGAGCCCGAACUUCUCAGCCUCCUGCCUGCACAACUGCGAUGAUAACAACUGUAUGUGGUGCUGUGGAUCGAACCCACGGCACGGUGCGUGCUAGGUAAGCACUGUUCCAAGGCGGCUACUUCCCCAGACUCAUCUCCCUUUACUUUAUCUUUACGGUACUGGGAAUCAAACCCAUACCCUUGCACAUGCUGGGCAAGUGCUCUACCCCUGACCUACAUCCCUAAACGCUGUGGCUUCUCUCCAAAAAAAUAGCAUCGAGGGGGCUAAAGAGAUGCUUCAGAAAUUAAAAACACUUGCUCUUGCAGAGGACCCAGGUUCAAUUCCCAACACCCACAUAGUGGCUCACAAACACCUGUAAUUCCAGUUCUAGGAAAGUCAAAACCUUGUUCUGUCCUCCAUAGUCUUGGGGUGGUACACGUACUGCAUACACAUAUACAAAGUGGUCAUAACAUAAAUUUGUAACACAUAAAAUAACAAAAAGUAGCAUAAAAGAGAAGCCUAGUGGUGCAGGCCUUUAA